AUCCUGCCAAAAAAAUAAGUAUCCUCAACAUGUUACAUAUGAUAACAACACACACCAAAACUAUCCUAUCGAAUUAGGCAAAUAGUAGGAGACACACAUAAAAAGAGUCAAUUCAGUUUCAUAAUAAGAAAAACAUUGCACUUUUUCUCAAUAUAAAUAGACUGUGUGACACUUUAGGCUCAACUGGUAUGAUGUCCCAAAAGCUAGAAUAAAAAAAUGCAGUAUGGUUAAAAGUAGAUGGGACCCAACCACGUUACAACACAAUCCAACAAUCUUAUCUCCCCAUCUAUGUUACCCAAAAAUAACAAGUCAGGAAAUGAAAAACUCCAUAGAUGAAGAAAUGUUAGUGUUCCAGAAAAAUAAAGAAAAAGAGAAUACUCGUAAUCAAGGCUUUCGAUGGGACAAGUGUUGGCUCCGACGAUUGCGAUCUGCGAAGUGGUGUUCUUUCGGUUCCUAGCGAGCAGAGGCUGUUGGAAUCCGACAGAUCCAUCAUCUAGAAUCCCAGAUAUCUUCCUCUCGUACGCGUAGUUCCCUCCUUCGACCUCUAUAUCAUGGUUUUCGCUCCGAUCAUCCAUCUCUUAUUUCCACCAACACACACAAUUUCGAUCCGGAUCAGAUGAAUUUCGAGAGGGUCGUAUUUUACUAUUGGUGUAAGAUCUCUGAGUCUCCGGGAAUCAAGAACCUCUCGCGCUCAGGCAAAUGUUAAAGUCUAUUUGUUUAUUGCUUUUUUUUUUUUUUUGGUUUUUUGCUUUAGGGAUGAAAGGUCAUGAGGAAGUUUUGUCGUUAUCUUUUUGACAUGAUUUUUGUUGUUUUCCUUCUCUUUUUUUUUUACAUGAUUUUUGUUGUGGGAGAUUGCAUCCUUUUUUUUUGUGCAUCCUAUAACUAAAAAAAUAAAGUGUGAUUAAAAAUCCAACUGAAAACAAAAAUUUUAAUA